rnacentral:snRNA from 1 species
GGCUGAGUAUUUGCCACCAGAAUUUCAGUGAUACAUGGAAGAUUAGCAUGUCCCUGCACAAGAAUGAUAUGAAAAUUUAUGAAGCACUCAACACUUAA